GAUGAACGCUGGCGGCGUGCCUAGUACAUGCAAGUCGAGCGAACGGACGAGAAGCUUGCUUCUCUGAUGUUAGCGGCGGACGGGUGAGUAACACGUGGAUAACCUACCUAUAAGACUGGGAUAACUUCGGGAAACCGGAGCUAAUACCGGAUGAUAUUUUGAACCGCAUGGUUCAAAAGUGAAAGACGGUCUUGCUGUCACUUAUAGAUGGAUCCGCGCUGCAUUAGCUAGUUGGUAAGGUAACGGCUUACCAAGGCAACGAUGCAUAGCCGACCUGAGAGAGUGAUCGGCCACACUGGAACUGAGACACGGUCCAGACUCCUACGGGAGGCAGCAGUAGGGAAUCUUCCGCAAUGGGCGAAAGCCUGACGGAGCAACGCCGCGUGAGUGAUGAAGGUCUUCGGAUCGUAAAACUCUGUUAUUAGGGAAGAACAUAUGUGUAAGUAACUGUGCACAUCUUGACGGUACCUAAUCAGAAAGCCACGGCUAACUACGUG
rnacentral:rRNA from 1 species